UGUAGAAUUGCUGAGUCAUAUGGUAAUUCUUAGUUUAGCUUUUUGAGGAAUUGCCAAAUUAUUUUCUACAAUAGCUGUACAAUUUUACAUUCCUACCAGCAAU
rnacentral:pre_miRNA from 1 species